AAACAGAGAAAAAAAAAUGUCUUCGUCGGCUCUCUCAUUCCUUGUUGUCUCUUCUACUUUCUCCAGCUUUACCUAAAACGAUCCCGUCCUCCUCCCUCCAACCCGACGGAGUUACCGAGAACGUCGUCACGGACUAAUCUCUUCUCUCGUGGAAACUCGAUCGGACGAGUUCGAGUCUCCUCUCGAGCUGUUCCUCUGGCGAAACCUUCCGAUUCGCCUUAUUACAUUGGGUUGGAGAGAGUCAAGACGGAUCCGUACGAUCGGAUUAAGAACACGGACGGGAUUAUUCAGCUUGGAUUAGCUGAGAGUACACUGUGCUUUGACUUGCUACAGAGAUGGAUGUCUGAGAAUUUGAUGGAGUCGAUGAUGCAAUCUGAUGAUGGUAAAUUCGAUAUUAGUAGUAUCGCAAUGUAUAAACCUAUUGAAGGAUUACUGGAACUCAGAGAUAAUCGCUCUUAGAAGAGCAAAGAGGAGGAACAUGGAACUUUUGGUUUUGGCAUGUGGUGGAGAAGCUGUGAACUCUGUUGAUGACUUGACCCCUGAUUCUCUUUGUUGGGCUGAGAUUUUCAGUUCAGAGAAAGCAAAAGACAAGCACCUAAAAUGCCAUCAAGACCUGAAAUCCAGAAUUCAGAGAAAGCAAAAGAGGUCCAAGUCAAUAACAGCUUGUGUGUGUAUGUGUAAUGUGUGUAAACUUAUCAUGUAUGCAAAUAUGAAUGUUUAAGAGAAAAAUCUUUUUCAUGGUUGUACAAAAGAGAGAAACACACAAACGUGUGAUCUAAACUUCAAAUUGCAACAAAAUUGACUGGCAUCUUGUAACUUGU